rnacentral:rRNA from 1 species
UCUGGUUGAUCCUGCCAGUAGUCAUAUGCUUGUCUUAAAGAUUAAGCCAUGCAUGUCUAAGUAUAAACACUUGUACUUGUGAAACUGCGAAUGGCUCAUUAAAUCAGUUAUAAUUUAUUUGAUGGUCUCUUUACUACUUGGAUGACCGUGGUAAAUCUAGAGCUAAUACAUGCAUAAAAUCCUGACUAGUGCGCUUUAUAGUACUGGGAGGGAUGUAUUUAUUAGAUUCAAAAGCCAAUGCCAUCUUCUUCGGGGGGUGGAAAUUUUUUCAAUGGUGAUUCAUGAUAACUUUACGAAUCGCACGGCCUUUUGUGCUGGCGAUAGUUCAUUCAAAUAUCUGCCCUAUCAACUUUCGAUGGUAGUAUAGAGGACCACCAUGGUGGUAACGGGUAACGGAGAAUCAGGGUUUGAUUCCGGAGAAGGAGCCUGAGAAACGGCUACUACUUCCAAGGAAGGCAGCAGGCGCGCAAAUUACCCAAUCCCGACACGGGGAGGUAGUGACAAAAAAUAACAAUACCGGUCUUAUUAAAGUCUGGUAAUUGGAAUGAGUACAAUCUAAACCUUUUAACGAGUAUCAAUUGGAGGGCAAGUCUGGUGCCAGCAGCCGCGGUAAUUCCAGCUCCAAUAGCAUAUAUUAAAGUUGUUGCAGUUAAAAAGCUCGUAGUUGGAUUUCGAAGUUAACAUAUCGCGACCCGCCUUUUUAGGGUGUGUUUGUUGUGGUAUGUUCUUCUCCUUACUAGACUUUCACUAUUGCACUUAAUUGAGUGAUAGUUUUGCUUCGAUUCGUCGGGGUGAGUGGUGGGCGGACCUAUUGGGUUAGGAUUGUGGAUGAGGCGCUUCUUCGGAGGAGUCGUGUUCUGCCUGAUUCAGUAACCGUUCAUUAGAAUUCUAGUUCUUUUACUUUGAGUAAAUUAGAGUGUUCAAGGCAAGCAAAAUUACUUUUUCUGCAAUGAAUACUAUUAGCAUGGGAUAAUGGAACAGGACACGUAUUCUAGUUUUUCGUUGGUUUCUAGAAUUUUUAUUAUUAGUGUAAUGAUUAAAAGGGACAGUUGGGGGCAUUCGUAUUUCAUUGUCAGAGGUGAAAUUCUUGGAUUUAUGAAAGACGAACUUCUGCGAAAGCAUUUGUCAAAGAUGUUUUCAUUAAUCAAGAACGAAAGUUAGGGGAUCGAAGACGAUCAGAUACCGUCGUAGUCUUAACCAUAAACUAUGCCGACCAGGGAUUGGAAGACGU